UCCCGCUCGUACUCUGUCUCUCUCUCUCUCUCUCUUUCUCUCAAAAAUAAAUAAACGUUAAAAAGAAUUUUUUUAAAAAAGAGGGAAAUGUAGCCACAGGCACUGAAACACACAGGGGAGAGAACCAUGGGAGCACGGGAGCAGAGAGAGGGAUGCGUCCCUCUAAGCCCUCCAGAAGGAACAAAGCCUCGACCUUUAGCUCAGACUUCUGGUCUCCAGAACUGUUAAGAGAAAAAACUCCUAGUUGUUCUAAGCCACCACGUCUGUGAUAAUAAGGCAGCCCUAGGAAAUGAAUACACCCUCCUUGCCCAGAGCAGGACAACGUGCGUGCACACACACACACACACACACACACAGCGACUGAACCACACAAUUACUUGGACUCACACUUUGACUAGGCCACACAAGCCCACGUCGCACGGCUCCUAUGCAAGGUCCUCCUGUUCACAGUGGCCCUGCACCCAGCAGGCGAGCAGUUCCAUGCACGUCACAUGCCCACGUGCCGGCCUAUCCUUACCCCUGGACCCACCAGGAACUCUCUGGAAGAAGCCUCCCAGAGGACAGAGCCCUCCAAACUCCCGCUGAGGCUUCCUUCCUGGUCUCCCCUUCCCUCCCUCCCUCCUGCCCUUCCUCCCUUCCUUUCUUCCUCCCUCCCUCUGCCUCUAUGCCUUCCCCUCUGAGUAAACACAGCCCUGUGGCGAGGCCCGCCAUGUUCUCGGAGAGCUGCACAUUGCCACCUGUUGCUAUGGAGAAGCCUCUUUAUCACAAACACUGGGAGAAUCCAAGUACAGGAUGGACAAGUGGCAGCCCAGUCCUCAUCUGUUCCCCACCCCUGCACACACCAGGAGUGAUGGAAUGCCACAGACCCAGGCUCUCUGCUCCCCAGCCUGACUCCCAGAUCCAUAACAUUUUCCACGUGAACAGUCUUCAGAGGUGCAGCCUGAAGCCGCAGGGAAAUGAACUUGGUGCCCCCCUUGCCCCACCCCCAAGACCCCCAAGGAGAAGCUGUCUCCAGGAAAGGUGGGGGG